CCUACGGGGUGCAGCAGUGGGGAAUAUUGCACAAUGGGGGAAACCCUGAUGCAGCGACGCCGCGUGAGUGAGGAAGUAUUUCGGUAUGUAAAGCUCUAUCAGCAGGGAAGAAAAUGACGGUACCUGACUAAGAAGCCCCGGCUAACUACGUGCCAGCAGCCGCGGUAAUACGUAGGGGGCAAGCGUUAUCCGGAUUUACUGGGUGUAAAGGGAGCGUAGACGGUUAAUCAAGUCAGAAGUGAAAACCCAGGGCUCAACCUUGGGACUGCUUUUGAAACUGAGUAGCUAGAGUGCAGGAGAGGUAAGCGGAAUUCCUAGUGUAGCGGUGAAAUGCGUAGAUAUUAGGAGGAACUCCGAUUGCGAAGGCAGUUCACUGGACUGCAACUGACACUGAGGCUCGAAAGUGUGGGUAUCAAACAGGAUUAGAUACCCCAGUAGUC
rnacentral:rRNA from 1 species